GGUUAAGCGACUAAGCGUACACGGUGGAUGCCCUGGCAGUCAGAGGCGAUGAAGGACGUGCUAAUCUGCGAUAAGCGUCGGUAAGGUGAUAUGAACCGUUAUAACCGGCGAUUUCCGAAUGGGGAAACCCAGUGUGUUUCGACACACUAUCAUUAACUGAAUCCAUAGGUUAAUGAGGCGAACCGGGGGAACUGAAACAUCUAAGUACCCCGAGGAAAAGAAAUCAACCGAGAUUCCCCCAGUAGCGGCGAGCGAACGGGGAGCAGCCCAGAGCCUGAAUCAGUGUGUGUGUUAGUGGAAGCGUCUGGAAAGGCGUGCGAUACAGGGUGACAGCCCCGUACACAAAAAUGCACAUGCUGUGAGCUCGAUGAGUAGGGCGGGACACGUGGUAUCCUGUCUGAAUAUGGGGGGACCAUCCUCCAAGGCUAAAUACUCCUGACUGACCGAUAGUGAACCAGUACCGUGAGGGAAAGGCGAAAAGAACCCCGGCGAGGGGAGUGAAAAAGAACCUGAAACCGUGUACGUACAAGCAGUGGGAGCACGCUUAGGCGUGUGACUGCGUACCUUUUGUAUAAUGGGUCAGCGACUUAUAUUCUGUAGCAAGGUUAACCGAAUAGGGGAGCCGAAGGGAAACCGAGUCUUAACUGGGCGUUAAGUUGCAGGGUAUAGACCCGAAACCCGGUGAUCUAGCCAUGGGCAGGUUGAAGGUUGGGUAACACUAACUGGAGGACCGAACCGACUAAUGUUGAAAAAUUAGCGGAUGACUUGUGGCUGGGGGUGAAAGGCCAAUCAAACCGGGAGAUAGCUGGUUCUCCCCGAAAGCUAUUUAGGUAGCGCCUCGUGAAUUCAUCUCCGGGGGUAGAGCACUGUUUCGGCAAGGGGGUCAUCCCGACUUACCAACCCGAUGCAAACUGCGAAUACCGGAGAAUGUUAUCACGGGAGACACACGGCGGGUGCUAACGUCCGUCGUGAAGAGGGAAACAACCCAGACCGCCAGCUAAGGUCCCAAAGUCAUGGUUAAGUGGGAAACGAUGUGGGAAGGCCCAGACAGCCAGGAUGUUGGCUUAGAAGCAGCCAUCAUUUAAAGAAAGCGUAAUAGCUCACUGGUCGAGUCGGCCUGCGCGGAAGAUGUAACGGGGCUAAACCAUGCACCGAAGCUGCGGCAGCGACGCUUAUGCGUUGUUGGGUAGGGGAGCGUUCUGUAAGCCUGCGAAGGUGUGCUGUGAGGCAUGCUGGAGGUAUCAGAAGUGCGAAUGCUGACAUAAGUAACGAUAAAGCGGGUGAAAAGCCCGCUCGCCGGAAGACCAAGGGUUCCUGUCCAACGUUAAUCGGGGCAGGGUGAGUCGACCCCUAAGGCGAGGCCGAAAGGCGUAGUCGAUGGGAAACAGGUUAAUAUUCCUGUACUUGGUGUUACUGCGAAGGGGGGACGGAGAAGGCUAUGUUGGCCGGGCGACGGUUGUCCCGGUUUAAGCGUGUAGGCUGGUUUUCCAGGCAAAUCCGGAAAAUCAAGGCUGAGGCGUGAUGACGAGGCACUACGGUGCUGAAGCAACAAAUGCCCUGCUUCCAGGAAAAGCCUCUAAGCAUCAGGUAACAUCAAAUCGUACCCCAAACCGACACAGGUGGUCAGGUAGAGAAUACCAAGGCGCUUGAGAGAACUCGGGUGAAGGAACUAGGCAAAAUGGUGCCGUAACUUCGGGAGAAGGCACGCUGAUAUGUAGGUGA
rnacentral:rRNA from 1 species